AGGGGCGUGAGAACUAUUAAAAAUAGUUUCCAGUGGGCAAUUACUGACUUCAGUGAAUGCACCACAAGGCCCAAAGCUACAAAAGAUGUCAGUGACUAUAAAUGUAGAAAAGCGAAGGGUAAGUAAAAUGUAACUUACUACAACAUGAUAUCUCUACUUAGCAUUAAUAGCAUAACUAUGAAGCAACUAUGCAUGAAGUAAAAGUCUCCAACUAUCACAAUGUUCACAAUGCGAAAUAGUAAAGUUCCGUUGUUUACUAUUCUAGUUAAUGUCCAAGUAAUACUCUAAGUCAUCAUCUGUCCACAUGUCAUAAUGAAUACUCAAGUCAAAUCUGAAGAGACCCACCCGAAGGCUGUCUAUGGCCCUGAGACCCACCCGAAGGCUGUCUGGCCGGUGCCGAGCCUAAUGGCCCCGUGGUAGUCAUCAUCCCCACCCUAGGAAUGAGCCUGUCCCACGGCAAUCCACUUCGGCGCCCAAUCCCGCACGGCGAAUAUGUAUCGCGAUGGCCAUCUCCGGAGUGCCGGCUUGUAGGGAGCGACCCUCACAAGCAUGUGCGAAUGAGCACAAUGGCAAGUAGUCAAACGAUCUGUCACAAGUACCAAGUCCUCAUGUCUAAUAACAUGGAAUAUAUGUCACCAAUCUCAUAGGCCUAUCCCUAUGUCAUCAUGUCUCUAACAUGGAAUAUAGCAGAUAUGUAGUGGCCUAUCAAUAUGUCUCUACGUUGCAGUUUCAUAGUUUACUAGUUUCAAGUGCCCCUUUAUGACACUCUUGUUCUCUAUGUCAAAGCAUGGCAACUAUGUUCCAAAGUACAUAUUCCAAGUCAUAAUCCUCAUAAGAGAUGUACUUUCUACUUGCAAAAUAAACACUUUUCCCGUAUGCAUGCAUUUUACUCAUAUAGCCCUACUAUAUAGUGAAAUUUU
rnacentral:lncRNA from 1 species